rnacentral:rRNA from 1 species
GAUGAACGCUAGCGGGAGGCUUAAUACAUGCAAGUCGAGGGGCAGCGUGGAACUUCGGUUCUGACGGCGACCGGCGAACGGGUGAGUAACGCGUACAGAAUCUACCUUAUAGUGGGGAAUAGCCUCGGGAAACUGAGAUUAAUACCCCAUAGUAUUACCUUUAAUAUUUAUUGGUAAUUAAAGCUCCGGCGCUAUAAGAUGACUGUGCGUCUGAUUAGUUAGUUGGUAGGGUAACGGCCUACCAAGACGAUGAUCAGUAGGGGGCGUGAGAGCGUGGACCCCCACACGGGUACUGAGACACGGACCCGACUCCUACGGGAGGCAGCAGUAAGGAAUAUUGGACAAUGGGCGAAAGCCUGAUCCAGCCAUCCCGCGUGCAGGAUGACGGCCCUAUGGGUUGUAAACUGCUUUUGUUAGGGAAGAAACCCUCUCUUUUAAGAGGGGCUGACGGUACCUAAAGAAUAAGCACCGGCUAACUCCG